rnacentral:rRNA from 1 species
GAGAUAACUCCUACGGGAGGCAGCAGUGGGGAAUAUUGGACAAUGGGCGCAAGCCUGAUCCUGCAAUGCCGCGUGGGUGAAGAGGGUCUUCGGAUCGUAAAGCCCUUUCGGCGGGGACGAUGAUGACGGUACCCGCAGAAGAAGCCCCGGCUAACUUCGUGCCAGCAGCCGCGGUAAUACGAAGGGGGCUAGCGUUACUCGGAAUUACUGGGCGUAAAGGGCGCGUAGGCGGCGUUCCAAGUCAGGCGUGAAAGCCCUGGGCUCAACCUGGGGACUGCGCUUGAUACUGGAGUGCUUGAGGAUGGAAGAGGGUUGUGGAAUUCCCAGUGUAGAGGUGAAAUUCGUAGAUAUUGGGAAGAACACCGGUGGCGAAGGCGGCAGCCUGGUCCAUUUCUGACGCUGAGGCGCGAUAGCGUGGGGAGCAAACAGGAUUAGAAACCCGGGUAGUCCUCCACU